rnacentral:lncRNA from 1 species
UUUCCUUCAUGUUGAGAUUUCACACUCUUUCCACCAUAAGCUUCUUCUGCUUCCCCUUCCUCUUCUUCAAUUUUCUGGGUUUGAGAAUUGAAAUAGCUUCAUCUUCCCUAAACCCAUAAAUUCAUCCACAAAUCAAAAGUUCAUCCUCAAAUUCAUCCCUAGACUCAUAAUUAAUCCCCAAAUUCAGACAUUUAUCUUUCCAUAAACUCAAAUCUCAUCUUCAACCCACAAUUCCCCAUUUUCUUCUCAACACCUCAAACUUUCGAAUUGCAAUAUCAAAUUAGUACUACAAUUUUAAUUUUUUUCUCAAUCGCUGUAAAUCAAAACCCAAACAGUAGUGGUGGUGCUCUGUUGAUUUGAAGAACAAUGUGAGGAGGUCGACGGUGGGGGCGCUGGUAAUUAGGAGAGGGAGAAGGAGAGGCGGCGCUUAACCUGGGAAAGAAGAAGAGAUGCACGUGUAUUGGAUUUGGGAAGAGAGAGAGGAUGUGAACUUUGAUUUUUGUGGUUCUGGAUAUUCAAUAAAGAGGAUUUGACUUUUGAGAUUGAAGUUUGUUGUUGUUGCUUCAAUGAUUGUUGUUAUGUUCAAGAUUUAUUGUCCAUAUGAAUUUUGUUUGGGUUGUUGUGAAAGAUGAAUUUUGUUUGUUGUUGAUCUGAGUUUUUUUUUUAAAGAUUGUUGUUGUUGUAGAAGAUGAAGAUUGUUGUUGUUCUCUCAAUUGCCAAUUCCUUUGUUUUUUUUUAAUUCUUCUAUU